rnacentral:piRNA from 1 species
GGAGCCAGAUGGGUAGUAAACAUGAAU